rnacentral:rRNA from 1 species
AGAACGAACGCUGGCGGCAUGCCUAAUACAUGCAAGUCGAACGAACUCUUCGGAGUUAGUGGCGCACGGGUGCGUAACGCGUGGGAAUCUGCCCCUUGGUUCGGAAUAACAGUUGGAAACGACUGCUAAUACCGGAUGAUGACGAAAGUCCAAAGAUUUAUCGCCAAGGGAUGAGCCCGCGUAGGAUUAGCUAGUUGGUGAGGUAAAGGCUCACCAAGCCUUCGAUCUGUAGCUGGUCUGAGAGGACGACCAGCCACACUGGGACUGAGACACGGCCCAGACUCCUACGGGAGGCAGCAGUGGGGAAUUUGGACAAUGGGCGAAAGCCUGAUCCAGCCAUGCCGCGUGCAGGAUGAAGGCCUUCGGUUGUAAACUGCUUUUGUACGGAACGAAAAGUCUCUUCUAAUAAAGAGGAUCAUGACGGUACCGUAAGAAUAAGCACCGGCUAACUACGUGCCAGCAGCCGC